rnacentral:misc_RNA from 1 species
AAGUCGUAACAAGGUUUCCGUAGGUGAACCUGCGGAAGGAUCAUUAACCUUUCAGAUCAGGGUGCGGCGCGGCCCCCGAGGAGCGGAAACAAUCCUUGGGAGGUAUGCGGGGGCUUCGAGCCCCCCAUUUACGCACGCACGACUGCCAUCCUUACUUUACGAGCACCUUCUGUUCUCCCUCGGCGGGGCAACCUGCCGUUGGAACCGAAUAAACUCUUUUUGCAUCUAGCAUUACCUGUUCCGAAACAAACAAUCGUUACAACUUUCAACAAUGGAUCUCUUGGCUCUG